UGUCAUCCAUGAUCAAUUUGCCCCUCAUUUACCGCGUUUUCACAAUGAUUAAUUUUAGCCAUCUUAAGCAACAUCUGUCCUGAUAACUGCCCGGAGCGUCUAAUAAUAAUAGCUUCAAAAUACGCUUAGUUUCUGGGAGAGAAUGAGCAUGGAAGUUUGAAUGAGCGUCCUGGACGCCGAGGAAGCGGACAAUGUUGCCAGAUUGAGCCAUAUUUCCUGUACAAUCUGGCAACCCUGGAAGCCGUUUGGCUCGGAGGAACGGAAACACAGGGCUCCCAGUAUGAGUUCACCGACUUUACUCUGCCUAGCCAGACCCAACACAGAGACAACCGGACGAACAAGUGGGUGUGCAUGUGGACGUUGUUUGCUAACAUUGGCUAUAGCUCCUGGUGCAUCUUCGAGCUAUAACGUUAACCGCGCAUCUGGCAAUGGCUGGCUGCUCCUCGGAGAUACUAGUUGGCUCAUAUAGCCACGCAGCCGUGUGCCAGCCAGAGCAGCCUGAAGGACUUCCACUGGGACGGCUCCCAGGCGCUCAUCCUGGGCCGCUGGGCCUGUCCUGGCUGGUGAAGUUCCCCUCGGAGCAGGAGCAGCUCUGCACACGCCAGGCCACCGCCCAGCAGGUCCACACGCUGGAGGAACUCUGGAAGACAUACGCUUGAUGCAGGGCGAUCUGACUGAGGUACCAAGGGGACUCGACCACUAACUGGAAGGGGAAGGGACAUGUGAUUACAGUCCCUGACAACUCUGGGGAUGAGAUGGCCAUGGAGGAUCAGCGGGCGCUCCGUUGGAGGUGCCUCACGACCCUAAAACCCUGACUCCCAGCCGGACUCUCUGUGGUGGGCCGCCUCCUUGACAGGAACUGACGCACAGCUCCCUGGAGACCCCUACGGUGGACGAGACCCCUGUGGUGGACGAGACCUCGGUGUCGGGCUGCGUCUACCACCAGCUGCUGGGCCACGAGGGGGGGGAGGACGUGGUCAUCAGGGGUCCGCUCCCCACGCGCUUCACCGCCCCGGGCAUGCCCGGCCUCCACCAAUCCCGGGUGGGAGGGCACCAUCCAUCCCUCCUUACAACCAGCAGGCAGUGCUGGGACGUGCUGAGACGGCUCCCCUGCACUUAUAUUCGUGGAUGAUAAUGAGUAAAACGGGCAUGAGCUUGGUUAGUUUAUAAUUACAGAGCAAAACACACCUUGCAUUCUUCUGCCAAACUUACGGAAACAAAACACACCUCACACAAUACCAACCUCAGUUUACUAUUCCGUUCGUGAUUUCGGUGUGCGUGUGUGUGCGUGCCUGGGGUGUAAAAAACGGUAAUACCGUGGACUCCUACCUUUUGUAUUUCACCUGGUUCUUUUCCACCAGGGUUUAAAACCAUAUUUUCCACCUGCUGUCAUUAAG
ensembl:lncRNA